rnacentral:lncRNA from 1 species
CUAGCAAUUUUACCUGACCAUAUCGGGAAAUAGGUAUUUAGUCGGAUCUUAACACGUACAUGUGAUUUGUUUAAACCGGUUUUCGAUAAAAAAAAAAAAUAUAUACGAAGAAAUGUCAAAAUGUUUAGGACUUAAUUAAAUCCGUAUUUCGGUAAGAUUGUGCAAGCAUACGAUUUUUAUUGCGUCUUACACUUUGAGAAGCGAAUAAUCUGUAACUACUUUAAUCAAAUAUUCUGUAAAAACGUUAAUUUUGAGCUAUGAAAGUCAAGUGGCUAGAGAAUUUUUCCUGAGGAAGUUUUAAAAAAGUGCAAAAAAAUAU